rnacentral:rRNA from 1 species
UACGGAGGGGGUUAGCGUUGUUCGGAAUUACUGGGCGUAAAGCGCGCGUAGGCGGAUUGGAAAGUUGGGGGUGAAAUCCCCGGGGCUCAACCCCCGGAACUGCCUCCCAAAACUUCCAGUCUGGAGUUCGAGAGAGGUGAGUGGAAUUCCGAGUGUAGAGGUGAAAUUCGUAGAUAUUCGGAGGAACACCAGUGGCGAAGGCGGCUCACUGGCUCGAUACUGACGCUGAGGUGCGAAAAGUGUGGGGGAGCAAAACAGGAUUAGAUACCCCGGGGUAGU